CCCGCCCGCCGAGGCCACGCCAGCGCCCCUGCCCGUGACCUUACCCGCGUCCGCGCCCGCAAGCGGGUGGGAGGGCGCCGAGGGCGACAUGGCGGUCCCGCGGUCCUGCGCCGAAGGCCCCUGCUGCUCCCGCCCCAGCGCGGCUCCCGGCGUGCAGCAGACGCUGGACGAGAUGGACUUCGAGAGGGGAAUCUGGUCUGCAGCCCUGAACGGAGACCUGGGCCGAGUGAAGUAUUUAAUCCAGAAGUCAACGGACCCCAGCCAGCCCGACUCUGCCGGCUACACGGCUCUGCACUAUGCCAGCCGCAACGGGCACUAUGCCGUGUGCCAGUUCCUGCUGGAGAGUGGGGCCAAGUGUGAUGCCCAGACCCACGGGGGAGCCACCGCUCUGCACCGGGCCAGCUACUGUGGGCACACGGACAUCGCCCGGCUCCUGCUGUCGCACGGCUCCAAUCCCAGGCUGGUGGACGACGACGGCAUGACCAGUCUGCACAAGGCCGCUGAGAAGGGUCACGUGGACGUUUGCUCCCUCCUCUUGCAACACAGCCCAGCCCUGAAGGCCGUCCGCGACCGGAAGGCACGACUCGCCUGUGACCUACUGCCCUGCAACAGCGACCUGCGGGACCUGCUGGCCAGCUGAGUCUCCCCGCUCCUGGCACGGGCUGCGUGUGGGGUACACGGACGAGCCCUCCAAGCCCCCGCCUCGGUCAGCGCCCGAGCCGCAGGGUGGGAUCCUGAGGCUGGAGGACCCCGGAAGAGCCCCAUUCUGGCCACUGGGGAAGCAAGGGCAGCGAUUUGGUGGGGCUGCCGGUGCUCCAGCCUGGACAGAUGACCGUAUUCUAAAUUAGUUCGUGUGGAAACAUCUCUCCGUUUGGAAAAAAUAAAGUUAUAUCCUUACCUCAUCCCACGCACAAAAAUAAAUUUCGAGAAAAGACCCAAAUCUGAAGAUACAAAAGUAUGUAAGCAUGAGAAGAAACUGUGGAAUAUGUGACAAAUGAACAGCUGCUUUCUAGCCGAGUGACCUUGGUACAAGUCACUUUACCCAUCUGUCCUGUGUCCUCAUUUUUUUUUUUUUUUUUUGCCUCGCGGCAUGCAGGAUCUUAGUUCCCCUGACCAGGGAUCAAACCCGUGCCCCCUGCAGUGGAAGUGCAGUCUUAACCACUGGAUCGCCAGGGAAGUCCCCUGCGUCCUCAUCUCUAAGCCUGUCAGUGCCCUCGCCCUCGGACGCUGGAGGAGGGGAGUCUCUGUGCGGCAGGCAGUGGAGUCCAGAGCUGAAGUCCUGCUUGUUCUUGUCGGUUUCCCCUCACUCUCCUCCAGGUAACCGUUUCCCUCCUCAAGAAUCACCUUUGACAGAAACACCCUGGAGCAUAAGGAUGGAGUUUCUCUCAAAAGCUCUGGGCUCCCUGGGUCUCAGAGCUUGGAAGCAGUCACCAAGAAGCCAGCUGUGGGCGGGGCCUUGGGCUGCCCUGGAUCCACGGUUCUCCUUCCCACUGGCUCGUCCUGGUCAUCUCUGCUCAUGUUGCCCCGAGUCUUACUCACUAGGCAAUCUGAUGGCUAGUGAAUAAGACUCCAGAAUCGGAGUGACACGAGCAAUCAGAUUUCCCUUCAAAGGUCAAGGCAGAAUUCAAGGCACAGCUGGGUGGAAGAUGUGCUUGGUGUCUUAGGGAGAAUUAGGAAGUUUGGCUUUGGUAGCUGCAGGCUGAUUGCUUUGCAACUGGAUUAAUGGUUAACGUUCGUACUUGGACCUGGAGCGGAUCUGAACCUCACCUUCCUGGCGAAGGGCGUCUCCGUGCCCAGGUCCACCAGGUCCCUGGUGGGGGACCUGCGUGUCGGCCGUGGGAGGCUCUUCAGGAGGCAUGAGGGGCUGAUGACGGGCUGGGCUUGGCUUCUGAUGGUGGCCUAGCUUAAUCGAUGACCUUGACCGUCACAGUGGUGAGGGAGCAGGGUGGGUAUCUGGGGAAGGAAGCCACCACCAGGAGCAGCCCAGGCGGCCUAGAAACUGGCCGGGAGUUGGGAAAUCACUUGAUCUCCUCCUGUAGCAGCCAGGAAGCUUCCUGAGGCAGAGGUCGGCCUCUUGUGCCUGUCCUUUAGAGGUCCUCUUUAGGAGUCUGGCUUCCUUUUGCCAGGGCAGUUGGGCUGGGUCUCCCAGGGUCUCAGGCGGCCAGACCUACAGCAACGUGGAGUCUCACUUCUUUUUCUCGAGGGCAUCUACACUUAGGAGAAUGGGAGCUAUUUCCCCCUGAACCUGGGCUGGUGGCCCAGCACCCAGGAUGUGUGUUUAUUGGUUGAAUCACUUCUGAGUAGGUGCGGGGUGGGGGAUGGCACAGGUGCAGGCUGGGGGGUGUCUGAGGAUGCAACUGACUCAGCUCAAAACAGCUCUUUCUCCCGCGCCCGCAGUGGGCUGUGUGCCCACACCGGUACUUUGGUGGGUGUUACGGAGCCACGGAGUUGUCUGGCCGGGGCCCGAGCCUCUGCCCUGCCCCCCCGGCCCCCGACAGCUCUCCUAUAAAAGGGCUGAGCUGCUCGGCUCCUCACUGGGGGCGUGACGAGCAGGGGGCGCCAUGGACUUCGUCAGCAUCCAGCAGUUGGUGAGGACGUGGAGCGGAGGCUGGGCAGCUCCUUUCUGGUGCCUGAGGAGGUUUUAGGAGUAGAAACCUGUAGUUCUUUUCCGGCCUGUCUGCCUAGUUCUCGUGUGAGGUGGUGAGGGGCCAAGGAGCAAGAGAGAGAGACAGUGAGAAAGGCGUCUGGUGAUGGUAGACAAGAAAAUCCUUGAGUGUAGUGGGUUUUACCUUGGACUGUGAUGGCCAAAGAGGAACGGGAAGUGGUGGGUUACCCUGGGAGACACAAGUGUGGCUGGGUGUUGGCUGAGCUCAAUUGUGUUGAUGGUCUUUGCGGGGGAAAUGGUCUGGAGGGUCUGGCUGCCUUGGCUGGGGACAAGGAGAAGGGCGCUCGAGUUCCCUGGGCAGGCACACCAGUGACACUUUGGGAUGUCUGUUGUGAGGGAUGGGGCAUGGAGGGUAGCGAGGCCCGGGGCGUCACUUUGCCCCACAAGCCCCACUGCGGGCCAGGGCCCUGCUGGCCGCAGCCCAGGACAGCCGCUGCUGGGAGGCGGGUUGCAGGGCCCAGGAAGUGUUAGGCUGCCCGAGUUUGCUUUAGAAGGGAAUGGAAUGUAGUUCUACGUGGCUGGAAGCCCUGCCAUCGUUAUCAUUCCAGCCUUUUCUCUCCCCUCAACGUGCUUAUUCCUCAGGGCUCCCCAGCCGCUGAAACAUGGGGCUGGGGGCCGGGGGAGGAAGAAAAGAAUGGACCAUUGUUUGGUGGGUUCUGCCCUAAGCACAGCACCGGUAAGUCAUUUCAUCUUUAUAGCUCCAAGAGGUAAGUGCUAGUUUUACCCCAUUUUAUCAUGAAGAAACAUAGCUUCACGAAGAGGGAAAAUUUGAACAUAGGAAUUCAGAAUUUUAUCCGGGAGGCAUCUCCUUUGUCCCCCUGGGCUUGGGGUCAGGUGGCAGUGUGGUGUGAUAAGGUAGGAAUGUAAGGACAACCACCCAAGAGGGAGGCCCUGAGCUCACCUGGACGCAGCCCAGCAACAUAAAUAGAUGUGGCGUCAGGCCCCGGCCGCAGGGUUCCUGUGACAGGACGGAGUGAGCAGCAGUCAGCCCCCGGGCCUUGGGCGCUGCUGCAGGUGGUGAGAGCCAGCGACAAGCACCGGGGUCAGGGAGCCGGCCGGGGCCCACUCUGCCAUGGGGCUUUGAGAGGGGUCAGGCCAGCUCUCAGAUCCGCAUCCAGAUCACUAAUCUCUGUACGUCAGCUCCUGGCAGGACCCCCUGUCUGGCACAGUUGUGUUUUCUAAGGGCUCCUCCUAAUUUUUCUGAUUCUUUGUCUGUUCCUAUAGGUAAGUGGAGAGAGUCGAAAGGAAAGAAUUGGGACGUGGACAUGGAGUGUCUGAUCCUGGAGGCUGGGGCCCCAGGAGGCUGAGGCCCGGGAGAGGCAGGAACUGGACG